UUAUAGUUAUAGCUAAAAAGUUGGACAGAUGGCAAGAAUAAGAUCGAUAGCGUAAGAACAUUUGCUAAUUGAUAUUAUUCUUGCCAUCUGUCCAACCUUUUACCUUUAACUAUAU